UACGUAGGGCGCAAGCGUUGUCCGGAAUUAUUGGGCGUAAAGAGCUCGUAGGCGGUCUGUCGCGUCCGUUGUGAAAACUCGAGGCUCAACCUCGGGCUUGCAGUGGAUACGGGCAGACUAGAGUGCGGUAGGGGAGACUGGAAUUCCUGGUGUAGCGGUGGAAUGCGCAGAUAUCAGGAGGAACACCGGUGGCGAAGGCGGGUCUCUGGGCAACAACUGACGCUGAGGAGCGAAAGCGUGGGGAGCGAACAGG
rnacentral:rRNA from 1 species